rnacentral:rRNA from 1 species
GGGGGGGGGGGGGGCCUAAUACAUGGCCAAGGUCGAGCGAACUGAUUAGAAGCUUGCUUCUAUGACGUUAGCGGCGGACGGGUGAGUAACACGUGGGCAACCUGCCUGUAAGACUGGGAUAACUCCGGGAAACCGGAGCUAAUACCGGAUAACAUUUUCUCUUGCAUAAGAGAAAAUUGAAAGAUGGUUUCGGCUAUCACUUACAGAUGGGCCCGCGGUGCAUUAGCUAGUUGGUGAGGUAACGGCUCACCAAGGCAACGAUGCAUAGCCGACCUGAGAGGGUGAUCGGCCACACUGGGACUGACACACGGCCCACACUCCUACGGGAGGCAGCAGUAGGGAAUCUUCCGCAAUGGACGAAAGACUGACGGAGCAACGCCGCGUGAGUGAUGAAGGCUUUCUUGUCGUAAAACUCUGUUGAUAGGGAAGAACAAGUACAAGAGUAACUGCUUGUACCUGGACGGUACCUAACCAGAAAGCCACGUCCAAUUCCGUGCCAGCAGCUGAUACAAAACGUACGUGGCAAGUGUAAUUUUGAAAAUUGGCCGGAAGGUGCGCGUUUUGCUAAUUCAAAAGUCAAACCCCCACCUCCCACCCUUCAAUUGUGUUUUGGACAUCGGAAAACUGGUGUACAGUGAAGGACAAUCAAAUUUUCCGCUUUCCACGUAUAUGCGUUGAAAAUGUAACGAGUUGGGCCGGGACACCCGCCUCCUCUGUAACGAUUUUUUUGCCUGACAGGCGAUGGCGACGGGACCAACCCGCCUGGAAUCCCCUUCCCUUUCCCCCCCCCGACCUAGUCUCUUUGAGGCUGUGACCUCGC